AACCCAUGGUGAGGUUUUCAAGAGGUCAUUGUAUCUCUCCCAUGCAUCGUAGAGUGUUUCUAAAUCCAUCUGUACAAAAGAAGAGAUAUCAUUAUGUAAUU
rnacentral:snoRNA from 1 species